AUUGAACGCUGGCGGCAGGCCUAACACAUGCAAGUCGAACGAGUGGCGGACGGGUGAGUAAUGUCUGGGAAACUGCCUGAUGGAGGGGGAUAACUAUUGGAAACGGUAGUUAAUACCGCAUACCAUCGGAUGUGCCCAGAUGGGAUUAGCUAGUAGGUGGGGUAACGGCCCACCUAGCCGACGAUCCCUAGCUGGUCUGAGAGGAGGACCAGCCACCCUGUAACUAAGACACGGUCCAGACGCCUACGGGAGGCAGCAGUGGGGAAUAUUGCACAAAGGGCGCUAUCCGGAUGCAGCCAUGCCGCGUGUAUGAAGAAGGCCUUCGGGUUGUAAAGUACUGUCAGCGGGGAGGCGUUACCCGCAGAAGAAGCACCGGCUAACUCCGUGCCAGCAGCCGCGGUAAUUC
rnacentral:rRNA from 1 species